GCAUAUCAAUAAGCGGAGGAAAAGAAACCAACAGGGAUUGCCCUAGUAACGGCGAGUGAAGCGGCAACAGCUCAAAUUUGAAAUCUGGCUUUCGGGCCCGAGUUGUAAUUUGUAGAGGAUGAUUUUGAUGCGGUGCCUUCCGAGUUCCCUGGAACGGGACGCCAUAGAGGGUGAGAGCCCCGUCUGGUUGGAUGCCAAAUCUCUGUAAAUCUCCUUCGACGAGUCGAGUAGUUUGGGAAUGCUGCUCUAAAUGGGAGGUAUAUGUCUUCUAAAGCUAAAUACCGGCCAGAGACCGAUAGCGCACAAGUAGAGUGAUCGAAAGAUGAAAAGCACUUUGAAAAGAGAGUUAAAAAGUACGUGAAAUUGUUGAAAGGGAAGCGUUUAUGACCAGACUUGGGCUUGGUUAAUCAUCUGGGGUUCUCUCCAGUGCACUUUUCCAGCCCAGGCCAGCAUCAGUUUUCGCCGGGGGAUAAAGACUUCGGGAAUGUGGCUCCCCUCGGGGAGUGUUAUAGCCCGUUGUGUAAUACCCUGGUGGGGACUGAGGUUCGCGCUUCUGCAAGGAUGCUGGCGUAAUGGUCAUCAACGACCCGUCUUGAAACACGGACCAAGGAGUCGUCUUCGUAUGCGAGUGUUCGGGUGUCAAACCCCUACGCGUAAUGAAAGUGAACGCAGGUGAGAGCUUCGGCGCAUCAUCGACCGAUCCUGAUGUUCUCGGAUGGAUUUGAGUAAGAGCAUACGGGGCCGGACCCGAAAGAAGGUGAACUAUGCCUGUGUAGGGUGAAGCCAGAGGAAACUCUGGUGGAGGCUCGCAGCGGUUCUGACGUGCAAAUCGAUCGUCAAACAUGGGCAUGGGGGGCGAAAGACUAAUCGAACCUUCUAGUAGCUGGUUUCCGCCGAA
rnacentral:rRNA from 1 species